rnacentral:lncRNA from 10 species
GUGAGCCACUGCGCCCAGGUCCUAUGUCUUUAUUUUCAGCUUUCCCGUGUGCAUUGAUUGGGAAUUGGUUUCACUUCAUGUAGUAGAAACAAACUAAUGCAGCUCCGUCAGUAAGAUUUUUUUCUCACACAAGAAGUCUGAAGGCUGUGGUCCAGAAGAGGUGAACAUCAAAGACGCAUCAACCAACUGGGCUUCUUCUACCAUUCUACCAUUUGCUCCUCUGUAUUUUUUUCUUUUCUUUUUUUUUUUUUUUUUUUUUUUUGAGACGGGGUCUUGCUCUGUUGUCAGGCUGGAGUGCAGUGGUGCGAUCUCAGCU